GCCGUCACAGCCACUGUGCCGGGCUCUGGUGUCCUGCUGGGGGCCGUGCGGGUCCUCUGAACCUGUUUACUCUGCUCAGAGAGCUGCCGCGCCGAGGUGCCGGCGGAACCGCUGCGCCGGCCAUGAGAGUCGCGCUGGCCACCCAUGUGUUUCCUCCACUGAGGGAUCUUCUGCUCCAAAGGCAGAACAGCAUAUUGGCUAAGUCCAGAGGGUCUGGAGCCAUACCGACUGGCUUUGAGUGUUCACUCUGUCACUCAAGAGCUGUGCAAUUUUAGGUGAGUUGUUCAACUUUUCUGUGCUGCAGUUUCCUCAUCUGAAAGUGUCAAGUAAUAAUGAUGCCUACUUCCUGGGUUUACUACUGUGAGCAGUAAAUGAAUUAAUAUAUUCAAAGUGCCUAGAAGAGUGCCUCAUUCAUACAGCUCACACUGGAAGGGCUGAGAAAAUGUUUGUUGAGUGAACAAAUAAAUGAAUGAUCAAAUGAUUGAAUGGCGAAGUG
rnacentral:lncRNA from 13 species